rnacentral:rRNA from 1 species
AGUCAACGCUGGCGGCGUGCCUCAGACAUGCAAGUCGAACGCGAAAGUUUCCUUCGGGAAGCGAGUAGAGUGGCGUCCGGGUGAGUAACACGUAGGUAAUCUACCUUUGGGUGGGGAAUAACAACCGGAAACGGUUGCUAAUACCGCAUAAUGCAGCGGCACCACAUGGUGACAGUUGUUAAAGCGGGGGAUCGCAAGACCUCGCGCCUAAAGAGGAGCCUGCGGCGGAUUAGCUAGNGGUAAGGUAACGGCUUACCAAGGCAACGAUCCGUAGCCGGCCUGAGAGGGCGGUCGGCCACACUGACACUGAAAUACGGGUCAGACUCCUACGGGAGGCAGCAGUCGGGAAUUUUGGGCAAUGGGCGAAAGCCUGACCCAGCAACGCCGCGUGAAGGA